rnacentral:rRNA from 1 species
CCUACGGGAGGCAGCAGUGAGGAAUAUUGGUCAAUGGGCGCAAGCCUGAACCAGCCAAGUAGCGUGAAGGAUGACGGCCCUACGGGUUGUAAACUGCUUUUAUGAGGGAAUAAAGUGAGGCACGUGUGCCGUUUUGUAGGUACUGUAUGAAUAAGGACCGGCUAACUCCGUGCCAGCAGCCGCGGUAAUACGGAGGGUCCGAGCGUUAUCCGGAUUUAUUGGGUUUAAAGGGAGCGUAGAUGGGUUGUUAAGUCAGUUGUGAAAGUUUGCGGCUCAACCGUAAAAGUGCAAUUGAUACUGGCAGCCUUGAGUACAGUGGAGGUAGGCGGAAUUCGUGGUGUAGCGGUGAAAUGCUUAGAUAUCACGAAGAACUCCGAUUGCGAAGGCAGCCUACGAAAGCGCUACUGACACUGAGGCUCGAAAGCGUGGGUAUCAAACAGGAUUAGAUACCCGAGUAGUC